UCUAAACGUGGUUUGGGAGUGCAAUUUACCUGGAAGGAAGUGAUCUCUGGUUUACUGCAUGAGUACAAGCCAAGUCACCCGGUCUGUAAUGGAGAAUGGAAAUAACAGGUCUUGGGAUCAGCCUUUUCUCUGGUCUUCUUGCUCACCAUCCUCAGCUGGUACCAACAGGCUGGAAACCCAACGACUGUGUAUGCCAUGGCACUGAACAGCCAGAGUUCCCAGAGGCAAAUGGAACUAACCAUGGAUGGAAUGAUAUGGGAAACUAUUUAUUUGGCUAGGAUGGUAGCAAAGAGGCUUGUUCAUCUACGGAACAACACCACAGCACUCUGAGCACUGGGAAACGGGGAAGUCAUGUACACUGACCUCCAGAAGACACCUACAGCACCACUUUGGUUGCAGAAUUAUCGGGGGAAAGAGGUUUUGUUGUCCGGUAAAAUUAGAGACUGGCUGUGCAUCAGGCAGUCAAACAGCAUCUAGUACUGUUCCAUCAGAAUGAGAACCAUCUCACUGGAUUAACUUAACAUAAUGCUGACAUGUAAAGAGGGUCUCACUUUCAGCUAGCCCCAGUUCCUAUGGGUUCUCUCUUUGGGAUAUACUGUGGUUCCCAUCCAUUCUCUCUUUGCUCUUCUCAACCUUGUCCCUCCUUCUCUUCUGCCUACUGAGUUCAAAGCCCUUCGCUCUGCAAACACAGAGCCUGUGCUGUGUCUCAAAGCAUGGACCAACCACAGGCAUGGACACUCGUCUUUCGAGACAGUCUGGUUCUCCAAGAAGUGACCCAACAUUUCAGCUGGAGAAAGAAGAUAGCCCCUGGAGAAGGAGUUACUGACUGGUAUUUCAGUUCAUACUGGAAUGCCAGAGAUAACUGUUGCAUCACUGUGUUCAACUGAAGCUGGAUCUAGGCAUCACACAAGCAGGCAAAGAUAUCCACAAAGGACAGCAUUUCGUUUCAGAUUCAUCUGUCUAAGGGCAGCCACUGACAGUGACUCUGUGCAAAUUUUAAUUAGUGUAUACCUACAAGAUUUUAAUAAACUAUUUACAAAUGGACUGCUCUGUCACUUGGCAUUAUCAGCUCUUUAAACUUACGUUGUUGCGGAGGUCAAAUGUGAAUAGCUCAUUCCAAGAC
ensembl:lncRNA